GGCUCUAUAGUGUAGUGGUUAGCAUGCCUGCUUUACACUCAGAAGGUCCUGGGUUCACCCCAGGUGGAGCCA
rnacentral:tRNA from 1 species